AGCGUAUUUACAAAUGCUAGUAGGCACAGCAGGGGCGUGGCACUGCGGGUCAUGUGACUUCCGCUUAACACGGGUUGUCAUGGCAAUCGUGAAGCUCCUAGGUGCCUAGGGACGUAAUCGCUUAGGGACUUUUGAGGCACUGGUCUCCACUGAGCGCGGCUCGCUUAUCGCCAGGACCGGGCGCAGCGACCUUGCAUCCCACGUGCGUAGGGAGCGAAUCGUUUAGGGCGCGUUGAAUGUCUGACGGUGUCUGGGCCACGCCGACCGCGCUUUAUUCUAGUGUUUAUUCUAAUCUGGUGGUGUAAGACCCGUAUUUCUGAACAAUUCGGUGGUGCUGACGUUCGCAAUAUUCACGUGGCUUAGCGCCUCGGCAACGCAGUUUGCGAGCCGGCGCUGUGUAGCAACGUCGCCGUGUCCGCCCUUUUCGCCAGCGUCAUCACAUCGCACAUGCACAUGGACGUCGAAGGUGGAGGUAUUGUACGUGUUCCUGGAGGCCACGACUUAUGUCACAUGCUGCUCAAGAAUGCACAUCGACUUCUUCAGAAGGUUCAGAAGAGGUCUUCUUCAGAAGGUUGGCGUAAAGCCAGCAAUUUUAAUGCAGCCAGUCUGUCUGUACGACCACUUGGUGCAAACUUUCAUUUUUGUGUUACACACACACUCAAUACAAUAACUGUAAUAAAGGAUUUGAAAAAUACA